rfam:Oryza glumipatula chromosome 9, whole genome shotgun sequence.
UUUAAGCGCAGCGAUGAGUUGUGUCCAACUUUGAUCGCCCGUUUUAUUUAAAUUUUUUUUAUGAUUAGUAUUUUUAUUGUUAUUAGAUGAUAAAACAUAAAUAAUACCUUGUGCAUAACUUAUGUUUUAAUUUUAAAACAUACGGUUAAAAUUGGACACAGAGAUUAAUGGUUGCGCUUAAA